AACAAAGUACCUGGAAGUCAGAGGCUGGUUGGAAGGUUGAGGGCUUUACCAGAACAGGUUGCUGUUGAAAGCUCUCAGAGGCCUCGGAUUCAAGCAGAUGCACGAACACUAAAGACAAAUGUCAGCAUCCAACUGUCAGAAGAGGGACCAUUCCCUCAUAAAGCACCGAUACACCAUCAGAACAAAAGCAAGGGAGCCUGUGUAGAAUGCACUUGACAUCAUUUGAAAAAGCAAGAAGAGGGGCUCACGCGGUAGCAAAGCGGGUUAAGUGCACUAACGAUGGAACUCCUACAAGGAAAUAGAACACACACUUCCAGAAGCAGGCCUGGGUUGUUUUAAUGUUGCUGUCCUGAGAAUAUAUUAAGAUGCUUGGUUUGGGGUACUAUAGCAAAGUAAUGCUGUGUGUGUGUGUGGGGGGGUCAGGUCCUGGAACAUGAUGGUGGAGGAGGACCUAGGUGGGGGGGACAGAGUGUUAUAUGGAAAACUCAGAAAUGUUAUACAUGUAACAACUACUUUAUUUUUCUGUUUACUGUAAACCAUUAAUUCCACCCCCAAUAAAGAACAACAAAAAAAAGAUGCUUACUUAUUUAUUUUUAUUACCACCCAGGGGCAGAUUGUUUUGUUGUUGUUCUGAAAAUAUAUUAAGAUGCUUGUUUGUUUGUUUUUAAUUUUUUUAAUUAUUUAUUUAUUUAUUCUUUUUGUUGCCCUUGUUUUUUUGUUGUUGUUGUUGUUAUUAUUGAUGUCAUUGUUGUUGGAUAGGACAGAGAGAAAUGGAGAGAGGAGGGGAAGACAGAGAGGGGGAGAGAAAGACAGACACCUGCAUACCUGCUUCACCGCCUAUGAAGUGACUCCCCUGCAGGUGGGGAGCCGGGGGCUCGAACCGGGAUCCUUACGCCGGUCCUUGUGCUUAGCGCCA